GCGUGCGCCCUCUCCACCGCCCCCGCCUCAUAUUGCGGUGCAAACGCUCUACAUCUUCAGCAGCGUAGCAGACCUAUCCCUGCCCCUCUCCUGUUGCAUUCCGGACUUCUCGGCUGUUAUUCCUGGGACACACCUGCAGCAUAUGGAAAUUACCAGGCUGCGGGGGUCGAAUUGGAGCUGCACCUGCUGGCCUUUGCUGCAGCCGUAGCAACGUGGGAUCUGAGCGGCACCCGAGACCUAUGCCACAGCUUGUGGCAAUUCGGGAUUAUUAACUCACCCAGCAACGCCAAGGAUGGAACCUGCAUCCUCAUGGAUACUACUUGGGUUCUUAAGCCCCUCAGCCACAACAGGAACUCUGAGUUCCCAGGCCGGGGAUUGAAUCUGCACCACAGCAGUGACCUGAACCACUGAAGUGACAACUCUGGAUCCUUAACUUGCUGCACCACGAGGUUGAGUAGGUCGUUGGAGUGGCUCACUGUAUGAGUCUGUGAGGUUAAUACAGUAUCUUCAACACUGCAUACAGUAAGUACUCCUUAAGUUUUAUUAUAUGAAUGGAU
rnacentral:lncRNA from 1 species